rnacentral:rRNA from 1 species
GGGGAAUCUUCCGCAAUGGGCGAAAGCCUGACGGAGCAAUACCGCGUGAGGGAUGACUGCCUAUGGGUUGUAAACCUCUUUUUUCAGGGAGGAACAAAAUGACGUGUACCUGAAGAAUAAGCAUCGGCUAACUCCGUGCCAGCAGCCGCGGUAAGACGGAGGAUGCAAGUGUUAUCCGGAAUCACUGGGCGUAAAGCGUCUGUAGGUGGUCAAAUAAGUCAACUGUUAAAUCUUGAGGCUCAACCUCAAAAUCGCAGUCGAAACUAUUAGACUAGAGUAUAGUAGGGGUAAAGGGAAUUUCCAGUGGAGCGGUGAAAUGCGUAGAGAUUGGAAAGAACACCGAUGGCGAAGGCACUUUACUGGGCUAUUACUAAUACUCAGAGACGAAAGCUAGGGUAGCAAAUGGGAUUAGAUACCCCAGUAGUC